rnacentral:rRNA from 1 species
UGUACAAAGGUAGCAUAAUCAUUUGUCUUUUAAUUGAAGUCUGGAAUGAAUGGUUGGAUGAAAAAUUAACUUUCUUUUUUUUAAAAAAAAAAAUUAAUUUCUUAAUUAAAAAGUUUAGAUGUUAAUAUAGGACGAGAAGACCCUAUAGAACUUUAUUUUUACUAUAAAAGUAUAUAUUUGAUUAUAAACAUUUAUUUUUGUAUAUAAAUUUUGUUGGGGUGAUAAAAAAAAUUUUAUAACUUUUUUUAGUUUUUUCAUUUAUAUAUGAUUUAUUGAUCCUUUAUUAAGGAAAAAAGACUAAGUUACCUUAGGGAUAACAGCGUUAUUAUUUUAGAGAGUUCAUAUUGAUAAAAUAGUUUGCGACCUCGAUGUUGGAUUAAAAUAAGUCUCAGGAGUAGAAAAUUGAGUAUCUAGGUCUGUUCGACCUUUAAAUUUUUACAUGAUCUGAUUUCAAACCGGAGA